rnacentral:rRNA from 1 species
CCAAUAGCGUAUAUUAAAGUUGUUGCAGUUAAAAAGCUCGUAGUUGAAUUUCGGGAUUGACUCGAUGGUCGUGCCUUAAGGGGUAUGAACUGUCGCUGUUGAUUUCUCACCCUCUGGAGAAGCUCGAUGUCCUUAAUUGGAUGUCUUGUGGAACCAGGACCUUUACCUUGAAAAAAUUAGAGUGUUUAAAGCAGGCAUUUUGCUCGAAUACAUUAGCAUGGAAUAAUAGAAUAGGACGGCAUGGUUCUAUUUUGUUGGUUUCUAGGAUCACCGUAAUGAUUAAUAGGGAUAGUUGGGGGCAUUAGUAUUCAAUUGUCAGAGGUGAAAUUCUUGGAUUUAUUGAAGACUAACUACUGCGAAAGCAUUUGCCAAGGAUGUUUUCAUUAAUCAAGAACGAAAGUUAGGGGAUCGAAGACGAUCAGAUACCGUCGUAGUCUUAACCAUAAACUAUGCCGACUAGGAAUCAGACGAUGUUAAUUUUUUAAUGACUCGUUUGGCACCUUACG